rnacentral:lncRNA from 1 species
GACCAUUCUCGUUUCACAGCUGAGAAAACUGAGGCUCAGAAGAGAGGCAGGAAUUCUAGCUCUUCAUAGGGGAUUCCUUCUUAUCCCACCCUGGCCUGGAAAUCACAUUUUAUAAGGAAGUUUUUCCCAGCAGCCAGAGAUUGAGGUUAGAUAGAAAGAAAUUAACAACAGCCAGACUUAAGUCAUACUAGGCUUAUGAGAGUGAUUAUGGAACGUGCAGGAAUUGAUUAGAUUGCCCUCUUGAAUGCGGCUGUUGGUAGACUGUUCAGAAUGGGCAGUUUGUCCUUCUGAGGCCUGGCUGAUCAUCCUCCUCCUUGAUGCUAAGAACUAAAAGAUAAUGGCAGAAAGUGACACCAUUUUGUGUGAAGCUUGCAGACACUGACUGUGAAAGGAAUCCCUGAAGUCAUGGGAGGAGGAGAAAGACAUCUUCAUUUCUGGAAAACAGGAUGACAAGAGAUAGAACAUGAACAUGUGUAAACAUCAGACUCUGCUGGUUAUUGAACCAAACGCAGUCUCAGAGAAGCCUCACCCUCAUCCUGAACAGUACCUAUGCCUCAAGCCUUCUUCAAAAUGCUGCAAAUCUCAUUUCCCCAUCAGAGUUGCAUGCUGUUAUUCACAUCUCAACGUGACAGAGCUAGGAAGACGAAAAGCCAGCAUUUGAACCUGUAUGAGAAGACCUGCCAAGACAUUGGCUAGAAUCCUCUGGAGAUUGACUCCGUCAGAGUGGUGCCCAAACAUCCAGACCUUGAGAGCCUGGCUGCAUUUGCUGCUGUGACAGCAACUGCCCUCAAUGGCCCUCUGAAUUACAGCUGCCUACAGAGCCCCUGGCCAAGGUCCCC